AGGUGUUACAGCUCUUUUAGAAUUUGUCUAGCAGGUUUUCUGACUUUGGUUGGGAAACACCCCC
ensembl:snRNA LOC120093929 U7 small nuclear RNA